rnacentral:rRNA from 1 species
GAUGAACGCUGACAGAAUGCAUAACACAUGCAAGUCAACUUGAAUUUGGGUUUUUAACUUAGGUUUGGGUGGCGGACGGGUGAGUAACGCGUAAAGAACUUGCCUCACAGCUAGGGACAACAUUUGGAAACGAAUGCUAAUACCUAAUAUUAUGAUAAUAGGGCAUCCUAUAAUUAUGAAAGCUAUAAGCGCUGUGAGAGAGCUUUGCGUCCCAUUAGCUAGUUGGAGAGGUAACGGCUCACCAAGGCGAUGAUGGGUAGCCGGCCUGAGAGGGUGAUCGGCCACAAGGGGACUGAGACACGGCCCUUACUCCUACGGGAGGCAGCAGUGGGGAAUAUUGGACAAUGGACCGAGAGUCUGAUCCAGCAAUUCUGUGUGCACGAUGAAGUUUUUCGGAAUGUAAAGUGCUUUCAGUUGGGAAGAAACAAAUGACGGUACCAACAGAAGAAGUGACGGCUAAAUACGUG